GCAUCAUUUCCAGAUAAAAAUAUGUACCAAAAGUAAAAAUUAACAUUUUAAAUUUAAUUCAGAAAUAUAGGGUUUACAGCAUAAUUCACUUUCUGUUUGGUAUCAAAAUUACAUCAUCCAUUUUUCCCAAUCAAAUAACAUGUUCCAAAUGCAUUGUAAAAAGUCUAAGUUUUGGCAAUAUAUUAUUUUAUUUUGUUAAAUCAUAAGAUUUAGACCUAUGUUUUUGAAUUCUUUUCAAUUAUAAAUUAUUUGCAAACCAUUAUAGUGUAGACUGGUGAAAGAUUAGAAAUUUGCAUUUCUGUAAAGAUAUUACAGACAUCAGAUGGAUUUUCAACUGACAUCACAUUCAGCCUAGAAGAACCCAGAUUAACAUCAAAAAUGCCUAACUGUAGUAGGGGACAUAAUUCUACCCCUGUAUGCCAUAGAAUUAAUAAGGAAAGAGCCAUUAUGUGUCCUCCGCAAGAACACUGAGCUGCUUGAUGAAAUACCUGUAGUGGAGAGCAUCCUUAUGACUCUCAAAGACCAUGAUUUACAGAAACAGGCACUUAGAUGUUCAUAUAUUAGGGAAAGAACAACACAGCGUACCCAUAACAAACAAAGGAACGAAGGCUGCCAAGACAACUACCUACUUAAGAAAACGCUACACUGGCUAAAGGAGAACAACCUUACAAUCAUUAGAGAGGAUAAGACAAAGAAAAUGGUCCUCAUUGAAACAA
rnacentral:lncRNA from 1 species